GUGAGGAAUAUUGGUCAAUGGACGAGAGUCUGAACCAGCCAAGUCGCGUGAAGGAAGACGGUUCUAUGAAUUGUAAACUUCUUUUGUGCAGGAAUAAAGUGGGUUACGUGUAACCUUUUGUAUGUACUGUACGAAUAAGGAUCGGCUAACUCCGUGCCAGCAGCCGCGGUAAUACGGAGGAUCCGAGCGUUAUCCGGAUUUAUUGGGUUUAAAGGGUGCGUAGGUGGAUUGAUAAGUCAGCGGUGAAAGUUUGCAGCUUAACGGUAAAAUUGGCGUUGAAACUGUCGGUCUUGAGUGCAAAUGAAGUAGGCGGAAUGUGUUGUGUAGCGGUGAAAUGCUUAGAUAUAACACAGAACUCCGAUUGCGAAGGCAGCUUACUGGGAUGCAACUGACACUGAUGCACGAAAGCGUGGGUAUCAAACAGGAUUAGAAACCCCAGUAGUCC
rnacentral:rRNA from 1 species